rnacentral:rRNA from 1 species
UUCUGCCUACGGGACGCAGCAGUGGGGGAUAUUGCACAAUGGAGGAAACUCUGAUGCAGCGACGCCGCGUGAGGGAAGACGGUCUUCGGAUUGUAAACCUCUGUCUUUGGGGAAGAAAAUGACGGUACCCAAAGAGGAAGCUCCGGCUAACUACGUGCCAGCAGCCGCGGUAAUACGUAGGGAGCGAGCGUUGUCCGGAAUUACUGGGUGUAAAGGGAGCGUAGGCGGGCGAGAACGUUGAAUGUUAAAUAUACCGGCUUAACUGUUAGCUGCGUUCAAAACUUCUUGUCUUGAGUGAAGUAGAG